GAUGAACGCUGGCGGCGUGCCUAAUACAUGCAAGUAGAACGCUGAAGGAGGAGCUUGCUCUUCUGGAUGAGUUGCGAACGGGUGAGUAACGCGUAGGUAACCUGCCUGGUAGCGGGGGAUAACUAUUGGAAACGAUAGCUAAUACCGCAUGACAACAGUUAUUGCAUGAUAACUGUUUAAAAGGGGCAACUGCUCCACUACCAGAUGGACCUGCGUUGUAUUAGCUAGUUGGUGAGGUAACGGCUCACCAAGGCGACGAUACAUAGCCGACCUGAGAGGGUGAUCGGCCACACUGGGACUGAGACACGGCCCAGACUCCUACGGGAGGCAGCAGUAGGGAAUCUUCGGCAAUGGACGGAAGUCUGACCGAGCAACGCCGCGUGAGUGAAGAAGGUUUUCGGAUCGUAAAGCUCUGUUGCAAGAGAAGAACGAGUGUGAGAGUGGAAAGUUCACACUGUGACGGUAUCUGACCAGAAAGGGACGGCUAACUACGUG
rnacentral:rRNA from 1 species